CAAGCAGUCAUACCUCUCUGUUUAGACUGUCCACAGAUGCCAUCUCUACAAGGAAUAAGGACUUCCUCACUAUCACUACUUGGCUGACUUCGCUGGGCCAACAGAACCGGGAGCCAAAGGAGCGGCGCAGGGAGCGCCUCAGGGCGGGCAGAUGAAAGGAACGCGGGCGGCAGCAACGAGACCCGGCCGGGCGAGGGGGCCUCGCGGAGCAGCGCAGCACCUCGGGCACGCAGGGCUGCGGCAGGCCGGGCAGAACCAGCCGAGCCGGGCGGAGGAGCCGCGCUGCCACCCCGGGGGCCCUUUUGAGGCUUCUCCCGACUCCCGCAGCAGCAUCCCUCACCUUAUCGCCCUCCAUGGCGGGGCGGUACGUCCCACCCUACGCCACCGGCCGCCUCCCGGAGGGCACGAAGGCCCGGUGGCCGCGUCCGGGCCUGCCUAGCAACGGGCGGCGGGCGAGGACCCGCCUCGGUAGCGCCGCGCGGGGUUGUGGGAACGGGAAUGGCAGUGUUGAGAGGGGCGGGAGCGCCGUGUGCGCGCCUGGGCCGUGGCGGAGGCGGGAGGCGUUCCUCCCUGAGUUGGGUUUCCUCAGGCGGUCUGAGGGCCAGGGGAGGGGUCGGCUCUGUACUGCUCCGCGUUGUUCUGUUCGCUGUUGACCUUCUAUAGGCUGAGAACCGUGAAACCGUUCCUAAGCGUAGAGAAUUCUCUUUUAGUGAAGUUAUCCGCGGUUACUGUACGAAGAAAAACGCUGACUGUGAUACGCUGCGUCACGCAUAAAAUAGACGUAUAAAAACGGUGAUAACGUUCCCCCAAGCACCAGAGCUGUUCUGUCCCACACAGCCGGUGGCAGGCUGCCCAGCACACGUGAGGCGAGGCAGGCGCUGGUGGCCUGCGGGCAGGGAGCGGGCUGUUCUCACAGCGCGUAUUUA
rnacentral:lncRNA from 1 species